AACGAACGCUGGCGGCAUGCCUAACACAUGCAAGUCGAACGGGACCUUCGGGUCUAGUGGCGCACGGGUGCGUAACGCGUGGGGAUCUGCCCUUAGGUACGGAAUAACUCAGGGAAACUUGAGCUAAUAUCGUAUAAUGACUUCGGUCCAAAGAUUUAUCGCCUAGGGAUGAACCCGCGUAGGAUUAGCUUGUUGGUUGAGGUAAAGGCUCACCAAGGCGACGAUCCUUAGCUGGUCUGAGAGGAUGAUCAGCCACACUGGGACUGAGACACGGCCCAGACUCCUACGGGAGGCAGCAGUGGGGAAUAUUGGACAAUGGGGCGAAAGCCUGAUCCAGCAAUGCCGCGUGAGUGAUGAAGG
rnacentral:rRNA from 1 species